AUACGUAGGGGGCGAGCGUUGUCCGGAAUGAUUGGGCGUAAAGGGCGCGUAGGCGGCCCGGUAAGUCUGGAGUGAAAGUCCUGUGUUUAAGAUGGGAAUUGCUUUGGAUACUGUCGGGCUUGAGUGUAGGAGAGGUAAGUGGAAUUCCAAGUGUAGCGGUGAAAUGCGUAGAGAUUGGGAGGAACACCAGUGGCGAAGGCGACUUACUGGACUGUAACUGACGCUGAGGCGCGAAAGUGUGGGGAGCAAACAGGAUUAGAUACCCUGGUAGUCCACGCUGCAAACGAUGAUGACUAGGUGUGGGGGGACUGAACCCUUCCGUGCCGCAGUUAACACAAUAAGUCAUCCACCUGGGGAGUACGGCCGCGAGGUUGAAACUUAAAGGAAUUGACGGGG
rnacentral:rRNA from 1 species